GGGUUGUGAGGUUAAGCGACUAAGCGUACACGGUGGAUGCCCUGGCAGUCAGAGGCGAUGAAGGACGUGCUAAUCUGCGAUAAGCGUCGGUGAGGUGAUAUGAACCGUUAUAACCGGCGAUUUCCGAAUGGGGAAACCCAGUGUGUUUCGACACACUAUCAUUAACUGAAUCCAUAGGUUAAUGAGGCGAACCGGGGGAACUGAAACAUCUAAGUACCCCGAGGAAAAGAAAUCAACCGAGAUUCCCCCAGUAGCGGCGAGCGAACGGGGAGGAGCCCAGAGCCUGAAUCAGUGUGUGUGUUAGUGGAAGCGUCUGGAAAGGCGCGCGAUACAGGGUGACAGCCCCGUACACAAAAAUGCACAUGCUGUGAGCUCGAUGAGUAGGGCGGGACACGUGGUAUCCUGUCUGAAUAUGGGGGACCAUCCUCCAAGGCUAAAUACUCCUGACUGACCGAUAGUGAACCAGUACCGUGAGGGAAAGGCGAAAAGAACCCCGGCGAGGGGAGUGAAAAAGAACCUGAAACCGUGUACGUACAAGCAGUGGGAGCCUCUUAAUGGGGUGACUGCGUACCUUUUGUAUAAUGGGUCAGCGACUUAUAUUCUGUAGCAAGGUUAACCGAAUAGGGGAGCCGAAGGGAAACCGAGUCUUAACUGGGCGUUAAGUUGCAGGGUAUAGACCCGAAACCCGGUGAUCUAGCCAUGGGCAGGUUGAAGGUUGGGUAACACUAACUGGAGGACCGAACCGACUAAUGUUGAAAAAUUAGCGGAUGACUUGUGGCUGGGGGUGAAAGGCCAAUCAAACCGGGAGAUAGCUGGUUCUCCCCGAAAGCUAUUUAGGUAGCGCCUCGUGAAUUCAUCUCCGGGGGUAGAGCACUGUUUCGGCAAGGGGGUCAUCCCGACUUACCAACCCGAUGCAAACUGCGAAUACCGGAGAAUGUUAUCACGGGAGACACACGGCGGGUGCUAACGUCCGUCGUGAAGAGGGAAACAACCCAGACCGCCAGCUAAGGUCCCAAAGUCAUGGUUAAGUGGGAAACGAUGUGGGAAGGCCCAGACAGCCAGGAUGUUGGCUUAGAAGCAGCCAUCAUUUAAAGAAAGCGUAAUAGCUCACUGGUCGAGUCGGCCUGCGCGGAAGAUGUAACGGGGCUAAACCAUGCACCGAAGCUGCGGCAGCGACACUAUGUGUUGUUGGGUAGGGGAGCGUUCUGUAAGCCUGUGAAGGUGUGCUGUGAGGCAUGCUGGAGGUAUCAGAAGUGCGAAUGCUGACAUAAGUAACGAUAAAGCGGGUGAAAAGCCCGCUCGCCGGAAGACCAAGGGUUCCUGUCCAACGUUAAUCGGGGCAGGGUGAGUCGACCCCUAAGGCGAGGCCGAAAGGCGUAGUCGAUGGGAAACAGGUUAAUAUUCCUGUACUUGGUGUUACUGCGAAGGGGGGACGGAGAAGGCUAUGUUGGCCGGGCGACGGUUGUCCCGGUUUAAGCGUGUAGGCUGGUUUUCCGUGCAAAUCCGGAAAACCAAGGCUGAGGCGUGAUGACGAGGCACUACGGUGCUGAAGCGACAAAUGCCCUGCUUCCGGAAAAGCCUCUAAGCAUCAGGUAACAUCAAAUCGUACCCCAAACCGACACAGGUGGUCAGGUAGAGAAUACCAAGGCGCUUGAGAGAACUCGGGUGAAGGAACUAGGCAAAAUGGUGCCGUAACUUCGGGAGAAGGCACGCUGAUAUGUAGGUGAAGCGACUUGCUCGUGGAGCUGAAAUCAGUCGAAGAUACCAGCUGGCUGCAACUGUUUAUUAAAAACACAGCACUGUGCAAACACGAAAGUGGACGUAUACGGUGUGACGCCUGCCCGGUGCCGGAAGGUUAAUUGAUGGGGUUAGCGGUAACGCGAAGCUCUUGAUCGAAGCCCCGGUAAACGGCGGCCGUAACUAUAACGGUCCUAAGGUAGCGAAAUUCCUUGUCGGGUAAGUUCCGACCUGCACGAAUGGCGUAAUGAUGGCCGGCUGUCUCCACCCGAGACUCAGUGAAAUUGAACUCGCUGUGAAGAUGCAGUGUACCCGCGGCAAGACGGAAAGACCCCGUGAACCUUUACUAUAGCUUGACACUGAACAUUGAGCCUUGAUGUGUAGGAUAGGUGGGAGGCUUUGAAGUGUGGACGCCAGUCUGCAUGGAGCCGACCUUGAAAUACCACCCUUUAAUGUUUGAUGUUCUAACGUUGGCCCGUAAUCCGGGUUGCGGACAGUGUCUGGUGGGUAGUUUGACUGGGGCGGUCUCCUCCUAAAGAGUAACGGAGGAGCACGAAGGUUGGCUAAUCCUGGUCGGACAUCAGGAGGUUAGUGCAAUGGCAUAAGCCAGCUUGACUGCGAGCGUGACGGCGCGAGCAGGUGCGAAAGCAGGUCAUAGUGAUCCGGUGGUUCUGAAUGGAAGGGCCAUCGCUCAACGGAUAAAAGGUACUCCGGGGAUAACAGGCUGAUACCGCCCAAGAGUUCAUAUCGACGGCGGUGUUUGGCACCUCGAUGUCGGCUCAUCACAUCCCGGGGCUGAAGUAGGUCCCAAGGGUAUGGCUGUUCGCCAUUUAAAGUGGUACGCGAGCUGGGUUUAGAACGUCGUGAGACAGUUCGGUCCCUAUCUGCCGUGGGCGCUGGAGAACUGAGGGGGGCUGCUCCUAGUACGAGAGGACCGGAGUGGACGCAUCACUGGUGUUCGGGUUGUCAUGCCAAUGGCACUGCCCGGUAGCUAAAUGCGGAAGAGAUAAGUGCUGAAAGCAUCUAAGCACGAAACUUGCCCCGAGAUGAGUUCUCCCUGAGACUUAGAGUCUCCUGAAGGAACGUUGAAGACGACGACGUUGAUAGGCCGGGUGUGUAAGCGCAGCGAUGCGUUGAGCUAACCGGUACUAAUGAACCGUGAGGCUUAACCUUACAACGCCGAAG
rnacentral:rRNA from 1 species